GGUCCCAUAGCGUAAUGUUAAUGUGCUGUAAAUACCUUUGAGACUAAGGAUUUUUGUGCGGAGGUUCCGGGUUCGAGUCCUGGCGGUACCA